rnacentral:rRNA from 1 species
CACGUAGGGCGCAAGCGUUGUCCGGAAUUAUUGGGCGUAAAGAGCUCGUAGGUGGUUUGUUACGUCUGCUGUGAAAACCUAGGGCUUAACCCUGGGCUUGCAGUGGAUACGGGCAGACUAGAGGUAGGUAGGGGAGAAUGGAAUUCCUGGUGUAGCGGUGAAAUGCGCAGAUAUCAGGAGGAACACCCGUAGCGAAGGCGGUACUCGUGGGCCGACACUGACACUGAGGAGCGAAAGCGUGGGGAGCGAACAGG